CUGAAUACAUUUGUUGUUUCACUUCAUUAGCUUCAUGGACAUAAAUUAGCCAAUUUGAACUUUAUAUUUGUCAUGCUUCUCUUUUUACAGUGCCUGCAUAGUUGCACAAUCGUACCAAUAGUAUGAUAUUUUGUUCGGUUCGUACCAAUAUCAUGAUAUUUUCUUCGGUACAUACACAAGUCAUUGCAACCUCCUCACCUUUGCAGAUAACAUAAAAAUGCACUCCUUUAUUUUCCAAAAAUUUAUAAACACCAGGUAAGCAUAAGAUUGCAAUUAGAAGAUGCUUAGGUUCAGCUGAAGAUGCAGACUGCUACCUCAUAAGUAAUUUAGCUAUAUGCAGGCUUCUACCAGCUUCCAAUGUCAUCACUAUAGGUCAGUUGUCUAACAUUCGACCCUUCGCAGAUACUUUUAUAUGUCAGGGUCGAGACAGAGAAUAUCUCCCUCCUAUUUGCCACUCAUUUCACCAAAUAUAAUAUGUCUAAAUUAGCAGAUGUAAAAUAGGGAACUAAAUUUUUUUCAUACUACCAACAUCUAAAUAUUUAUUAAUUCAUCUAAAGAUAUUGAUUUGUCGAAUCACAGUAAAAGAAGAUAGAGAAAUCAACCAUAUGGGUAACCUUGAUCUCAUCCAUUAUGAAACAGGGUACCCUGAAUACUUGAGUUCUAUUUAUUUCUGACCACAUUUAUGUGAAUUUGUGAUUCAUAUUACUUACCUUAGUAACGACGGUUGCGGUAAACAGCUCCCUCCUCCGAUUUACCUUUCCCAUUUCCCCAAAUAUAAUAAUGUGUCUAAAAUAGCAGAUUUGAAACAGGGAACUAAAUUUUCAUAUUACCAAAGCCCAAACAUCUAAACAUUUAUCAGUUCAUCUAAAGAUUUUGAUUUCUUGAACCACAGUUAAAAAAGAUAGAGAAAUCAAUCUUAUGGGCAUCCUUCAUCUCUCAUCCAUUAUAAAAAAGGGUACCCUGAAAACUAAAAUUCUGUUUGUUUCUGACCACAUUGAUGUGAAUUUUUUAUUCAGAUUACUUAUCUUAGCAAUGACCGGUGCUAGAAGAGAACAAUAAGCGAAUCGAGGCUCUUAGCUCUUAAAGCACACACACUAUGCCUUCCACUUACAUCAAGAGGCUGAAGUUGUUGCAGUUAAGAAUUAUAUAAGCUUAGCUCUCGAUGUUAUGCAAGUUUUGAAUUACUCAAUUUGCUACUUCGAAUUAAAAUUUAGAUACAUGCACAACCCAUUUAUUAACAACUUCAGAUUUUUUUCCCCGAGAUCUCUAUAAUAUUUUAUCUUUAAUAAUCUGGAACCUCAAAAUCACUAUAGACUGUUUCGUCUAAAAAAUAAUCAUUAUAAACUGCUUAAUACAUUGUUUGAUGGAAGAUAGGAUGUCCUUGCUGCUCUUACUGACACUGGGACAUGCUUAGCAAGUCAAAGAUAGGACAUCUUUGUUUUUUCAACUUUACAACCAAAUCUUGGAAGUACAAAUGAAGCUAUGCGAUGCUUCUUUAUAUCAUGAGGAACAUGGCCCUCCAUUGUUAAAGAAGUUAAAAGCCUGUCACAAAUAUUUAUUUCUACUUGAUUACACUAUUUAUUCAGACAUGCUUGGACACCAGAAGUGAUGAGCAGCCAUUUCAAAAAUUGAUCAGUUGCCAGGUUUGAUAGGUACUUCGUUAACAGAAAAUCAGCAGCAAUAUUAUAUCCUGUACACAUUAUUAUUAGAGAAAACUUGGCUGAAAUUUUUCUGGAAGCCACCCAGGCAUUAUAUCCUCUCCGAGAAACUUGGCUGAAGUUUAGUAACCAAAAGAACAUGGAAAAUCUCAAGAAUGAAAAAGACGUAUCUGCAAAAUGAAGUGCUAUAUGAAGCUGGAUCUUAAAGAAACAGAGAUGGCUACCAAACCAAAGAGGAUCUAUUCAUUGAGUGAUGCAAAUGAUAGAACUGGAGGCAUGCAAAUGAUAGAACUAGAUACAUGCACCUGUUAACAUCUUCUGUAUCAAUACUUUUGAUUUGAUUCUUUUUGUAUAAUGGUGCAUGUUCUAUAUCCACAACAGAGCAUACGAAUCAUUCUACAUGCCCCUGUAAUAAUGCAUGGUCAACGAAUAUGUGCAGAGUUACCUGUUUGGAACGCAACAUAAAACCAAAACCAAAAUGACGACUGCACUACUCCUUUGAUACUACAUUACCAAGCUGUCGGUGGCGCACAAGCCAAAGGUUCCAAGAGAAUCUGUGACAAUAGAAAUGGCAUACGGAUAUUUGAUACGU